rnacentral:rRNA from 1 species
UACAGAGGGGGCAAACGUUGUUCGGAAUUACUGGGCGUAAAGCGUGCGCAGGCGGUUAUUUAAGUCAGGUGUGAAAGCCCUGGGCUUAACCUAGGAAUUGCGCUUGAGACUGGAUAGCUUGGAGUGCGGCAGAGGGAGGUGGAAUUCCACGUGUAGCAGUGAAAUGCGUAGAGAUGUGGAGGAACACCGAUGGCGAAGGCAGCCUCCUGGGCCAGCACUGACGCUCAUGCACGAAAGCGUGGGGAGCAAACAGG